GACGAACGCUGGCGGCGUGCUUAACACAUGCAAGUCGAACGGAGUUCCUUGGAUAGAGGCUUCGGCCAAUUGAAUUGGAACUUAGUGGCGGACUGGUGAGUAACGCGUGAGGAACCUGCCUUUCAGAGGGGGACAACAGUUGGAAACGACUGCUAAUACCGCAUGACACAUUCGGGCGGCAUCGCUUGAAUGUCAAAGAUUUUAUCGCUGAAAGAUGGCCUCGCGUCUGAGUAGCUAGUUGGUAGGGUAACGGCCUACCAAGGCGACGAUCAGUAGCCGGACUGAGAGGUUGACCGGCCACAUUGGGACUGAGAUACGGCCCAGACUCCUACGGGAGGCAGCAGUGGGGAAUAUUGGGCAAUGGACGCAAGUCUGACCCAGCAACGCCGCGUGAAGGAAGAAGGCUUUCGGGUUGUAAACUUCUUUUAAGUGGGAAGAGUAGAAGACGGUACCACUUGAAUAAGCAACGGCUAACUACGUGCCAGCCGCCGCAGUAAGAC
rnacentral:rRNA from 1 species